UGAGGAAUAUUGGUCAAUGGGCGAGAGCCUGAACCAGCCAAGUAGCGUGCAGGAUGACGGCCCUAUGGGUUGUAAACUGCUUUUAUAUGGGAAUAAAGUGAGGGACGUGUCCCUUAUUGUAUGUACCAUACGAAUAAGGACCGGCUAAUUCCGUGCCAGCAGCCGCGGUAAUACGGAAGGUUCGGGCGUUAUCCGGAUUUAUUGGGUUUAAAGGGAGCGUAGGCCGUUUGGUAAGCGUGUUGUGAAAUGUAGGAGCUCAACUUCUAGAUUGCAGCGCGAACUGUCAGACUUGAGUGCGCACAACGUAGGCGGAAUUCAUGGUGUAGCGGUGAAAUGCUUAGAUAUCAUGAAGAACUCCGAUUGCGAAGGCAGCUUACGGGAGCGCAACUGACGCUGAAGCUCGAAGGUGCGGGUAUCGAACAGG
rnacentral:rRNA from 1 species